rnacentral:tRNA from 1 species
CAGUAAGUAUUUUAAGUUAAAAAAUAUUAGUUUUGGAUACUAGAGAUGAUUUCUUCUUUACUGA